AAAACAGACAACACUCCAACAGCUACAGCAGUUUCUCCACCACAUAUUCAAUCUACUUUUAACUACAUACGAGUGGAAAUGGCUGGAAAUAGAGCAGAUUCAACCAUAAUUAUCCAGAUCACUCCGAGAUCCACACAAUUUCAGGCAAGGAUUUUUAAUCUCAUCAUUUCAAACAGCUAUUACUAGACUUGUAGAAGCCUCCCUCCUACCUAAAUCAUCCCCUCAGGCAGAGAGUGAUUUUGCAAUUCAUAGGAAGACAUAUUCAAUAAAACAUGCAGCAGCACCACCGACUUCCCCAUCCUGGCCCCUGGCUUUAGCUAAAAGUCUGAAGAACUUAAAAGAGAUAAAACAAUCCUUGAGAGAGCUCUUGCUUUUUUGGCAAUAGGUUUAUCUUUCUCUCUGUUCUGCCGAUUGCACUUGUAUCCACAUAAACACCAACCCGUGAUCUCACUUUUGAGGCUAUCAUGAAUUAGCACUGGCUGGGAGAG